UAUAAUAUAGUGUAAUUGGCACAAGAGGUUUUGAUACUCUUAGUAAAACUUAAUUUUUAUUAUAA
rnacentral:tRNA from 1 species